rnacentral:lncRNA from 1 species
GGCAGUAAAAGAAUUUUAUUAAAGAGUCAGAAAUAUUAUAUAUUAAAAUAUUUUUUUUACCAAACAGUUGAAAUAUACUAUCACACGUAAGCUAUAAGGACCGGUGCUUAUUAUGGGAUUUUAGGAAAUGGCAAGGAACCCUACGUGGCAGUGUUUCAUUGGAUGUCGAGAUUGUGUCUCUCUCCUUUGUUCCGCUGUGAAACUUUACGAGCUCGAGCUCCGACUCCCCUUCUUCUCCGUAUCAAGCUUCUCCAUAGCCGCUACAGCACUUCGUCAUCAAUCUGAGCUUCUCCGGCGAUAGCAUCAAGUCCUCUGGUCGUAACUGUGUUCACCAUUCCAAGCCGCCGCAUCUCCCCGCGAUUCCCUAUCUCUGUUCAGCUCUAAACCGCGACAAAGCUUUCUCCAUGGCGUCAAUCCUCCACUGUCGUCGGAAUCAACGAGCUUCCGCCUCUUCAAGCCACCGUCCCCGUUACACCGCGACAGUAGCUCGCCUUCGUCGUCGAGCUCGAGCUUCGCCGUCGUCGUCUUGCUCGCAGUCUCACCUCCACCUAGGAUCUUCUUCAUCCUCGUCGCGAAUCUCUCACCGCUCGCGAAAAAACCAAAGCUCCUUCGCUGAAUCGCUCAUCCUUUUCGUUCAUCUCUCGUAUCUUCGA